rnacentral:rRNA from 1 species
GAAGUGAGCAUGCAGGCAUGAGUAGCGAUAAUUAAUGUGAGAAUCAUUAACGCCGUAAACCCAAGGUUUCCUACGCGAUGCUCGUCAUCGUAGGGUUAGUCGGGUCCUAAGUCGAGUCCGAAAGGGGUAGACGAUGGCAAAUUGGUUAAUAUUCCAAUACCAACAUUAGUGUGCGAUGGAAGGACGCUUAGGGCUAAGGGGGCUAGCGGAUGGAAGUGCUAGUCUAAGGUUGUAGGAGGUUAUACAGGCAAAUCCGUAUAACAAUACUCCGAGAACUGAAAGGCUUUUUGAAGUCUUCGGAUGGAUAGAAGAACCCCUGAUGCCGUCGAGCCAAGAAAAGUUUCUAAGUUUAGCUAAUGUUGCCCGUACCGUAAACCGACACAGGUGGGUGGGAUGAGUAUUCUAAGGCGCGUGGAAGAACUCUCUUUAAGGAACUCUGCAAAAUAGCACC